GUUAAAACCUAUGUACUAGUACGGUGAAGCGUCGCAAGUGUGAAUUUCGCUUUCCUCCUUGCCAGAGGAAAAGCUGCUGCAUUUCUUGCGACAGAAGGGGUUCUCCGUGUGGUUACUAUUGUAGAGACAACGCUGCUGCAACAGCCAGGCGCCUGAAGCAUGGAUUUUAUGUUGGAGGCAACGGCUGCAUGCUCAUUGGCGAUCAUCCUGGCAUCAGCGCUACUCACGUGGCUCCGUCGCUCUACUGUGAAAGCAAACAUUGCUCAAGGACCACGCCUUCCGCCAGGUCCAGUAGGUUUGCCGCUGAUCGGGGACGUCACUACCCUCUUGGGCAACUUGACCCCACAGAAAGCGCUCGCCUGGUCGCAGGCGCACGGACCUGUGAUAAGAAUUAAGGCAGGCUGUGCAGAAUACAUCAUACUGAACGAUUUGGACUCCAUAAGAAGUUUCCUAAACCAUAAGGACAUACUCUAUCGGUCCCGAAGCUUUAUCUUUAGUGACUCCG